rnacentral:rRNA from 1 species
CGUAAAGGGCUCGCAGGCGGUUUCUUAAGUCUGAUGUGAAAGCCCCCGGCUCAACCGGGGAGGGUCAUUGGAAACUGGGGAACUUGAGUGCAGAAGAGGAGAGUGGAAUUCCACGUGUAGCGGUGAAAUGCGUAGAGAUGUGGAGGAACACCAGUGGCGAAGGCGACUCUCUGGUCUGUAACUGACGCUGAGGAGCGAAAGCGUGGGGAGCGAACAGGAUUAGAUACCCUGGUAGUCCACGCCGUAAACGAUGAGUGCUAAGUGUUAGGGGGUUUCCGCCCCUUAGUGCUGCAGCUAACGCAUUAAGCACUCCGCCUGGGGAGUACGGUCGCAAGACUGAAACUCAAAGGAAUUGACGGGGGCCCGCACAAGCGGUGGAGCAUGUGGUUUAAUUCGAAGCAACGCGAAGAACCUUACCAGGUCUUGACAUCCUCUGACAAUCCUAGAGAUAGGACGUCCCCUUCGGGGGCAGAGUGACAGGUGGUGCAUGGUUGUCGUCAGCUCGUGUCGUGAGAUGUUGGGUUAAGUCCCGCAACGAGCGCAACCCUUGAUCUUAGUUGCCAGCAUUCAGUUGGGCACUCUAAGGUGACUGCCGGUGACAAACCGGAGGAAGGUGGGGAUGACGUCAAAUCAUCAUGCCCCUUAUGACCUGGGCUACACACGUGCUACAAUGGACAGAACAAAGGGCAGCGAAACCGCGAGGUUAAGCCAAUCCCACAAAUCUGUUCUCAGUUCGGAUCGCAGUC